AACCCUACGCAGAAGACGAAAAUCGAAAAACAACGAAGGAGGUGUAGAAGAUCUGGGGAAGAGGAAGACCGAACAAGAUAUUUGCGAGCCCAAUAUACGAGUACUUGGACACAAGAUACGGCAUCAAGGGAAGUGCACUGGCUUUCCUCUUCAACAAAAAAUUGUGUGCUAAGUAGCAGUUCUUUUGCUGGUUGAAGGAACAUCACCCCCUCUCGUGACAAUAUUAGGCUACUUAAUGCUUGGGAUUUGCCUAAGGGCUGACUGUUCUUUUUAGCUUCUCCUGCAUUGGGUCCAAGGCAAUCCCCUUGCCCUGGCUUCUUCUUGGUUUUCCAUGUACCAAAAAAAGAAAAAAAAAUAAACCGCAACCAUGUAAUGUCGAGACCACUCCGCUCAUUGUAUUUAACCAUGCAAUUGUGUGUUUUGGUUCAUUUGACAGUUGCUGCAAUAAAAUGGGAGUUAUGUAGCUUUUGGAGUU